rnacentral:rRNA from 1 species
AACGAACGCUGGCGGCACGUUUUAAGCAUGCAAGUCGAAUGGCAGUGGGGGCAACCCCAUGAGAAUGGCGAACGGGUGAGUAACACGUAGGUGAUCUGCCUGACGGAUGGGGAUAGCUUGUGAAAACACAGGGUAAUACCGAAUGAGCUGACGAGACUUUGGUUUUGUUAGUAAAGGUGCUACGGCACCGCCGACAGAGGAGCCUGCGGCUGAUUAGCUAGUUGGUGGGGUAAAGGCCUACCAAGGCGACGAUCAGUAGCCGGCCUGAGAGGGGGUACGGCCACACUGGAACUGAGACACGGUCCAGACUCCUACGGGAGGCAGCAGCUAAGAAUCUUCCGCAAUGGGCGAAAGCCUGACGGAGCGAUGCCGCGUGAUCGAUGAAGGUCGAGAGAUUGUAAAGAUCUUUUCUACAUGAGGAAUAAGUCUGGGAGGGAAUGCCUGGAUGAUGACGUUAGUGUAGGAAUAAGCCCCGGCUAAUUACGUGCCAGCAGCCGCCGCCG